GGUGGUUCAGUGGUAGAAUGCUUGCCUUGCAUGCACGAGGCCCUGGGUUCAAUUCCUCAGCACCA
rnacentral:tRNA from 1 species